GGCCAAUGCCUGGGGUGGUCCCAGGUGAGGCUGGAGUAACAAAGGCAAUUCACAGGACUCUGUAGGAAGAUUUGGGAUCUAACUGACAGCACUGGGGACCUUUUGAAUACUUCUAAGUAGGUCUCAUUCCUAAGCCCAGUAGCACUGUUGAAGGUCUAUGAGAGGACACAGACUAUUGUCAUGCCUUACUGGAAUGCUUCCUCACUCAGCUAAUGGGCUCUAGAGAAAUCCUAGAACGAUGACUAUUCAGAGAGCCAAAACAAAGCUGCUAAUGUUUUCUUCUUCAGGGACGGACCCCAUCACAUGCUCUUUGAGAACUGACCCAGGAGAACUGAGAUGCUGGAGGGAGGAAGGAGUAUCCCAGCUAUAAUUAUAUGUGGAUGAACCAUAAGAAAGAAGCAGAAUGACGAUGAUGAUUGAAAGACACUUCAUGGAAUUACAGGAUCAGAGAGCUGGACAUGACCUUAGAGACUAAAUCCUCAAAGUCUCACAUUUCACAGAUGAAGGAAAAGCAACAAUAACAACAACUAAGGAUCAUAUAUUUUUAACUGAACUACUUUAGGUUACAUAUGUCAAUGUUCGAUUCUCUGUUGCCCUUUCAAUUAUGUGAUAAACCUAGGUACAUCAGACAGACUGAGAGUGUUGAAAUACUGAAAUAUUUGGAACAGCAUAUAUGUUUUGCAAAAUCACAUUAAAAAUUUCCACAAGUUUACAAUGUUUCUUUCAACCAUAUCAAAUUUAUAUUUUCUGUUAUUUUCCCCUGGGAAGCUGCCUCUUCUUUCCCAGUGGAAAUAGCUUUACUCUGGAAAAAACUGUGUUUUGUCCAUUUUAAAAUCUUGGUUUCCUACAAGUCUAUGAGAAUGAAUGUAAAUGUGUUCCCUCCCAUUUUGAACGUUUGGUGGGAAACUGUAAUU